rnacentral:rRNA from 1 species
UACGGAGGAUCCGAGCGUUAUCCGGAUUUAUUGGGUUUAAAGGGUGCGUAGGCGGGAGAUUAAGUCGGUGGUGAAAUUUUGCAGCUCAACUGUAAAAGUGCCAUUGAUACUGGUUUCCUUGAGUGUGGAUGAAGUAGGCGGAAUUUGUGGUGUAGCGGUGAAAUGCAUAGAUAUCACGAGGAACUCCGAUUGCGCAGGCAGCUUACUAAACCAUAACUGACGCUCAGGCACGAAGGCGUGGGGAUCAAACAGGAUUAGAUACCCU